AUUGAACGCUGGCGGUAUGCUUUACACAUGCAAGUCGAACGGCAGCGCGGGCUUCGGCCUGGCGGCGAGUGGCGAACGGGGGAGUAAUGCAUCGGAACGUGCCCAGUAGUGGGGGAUAGCCCGGCGAAAGCCGGAUUAAUACCGCACACGAUCUGAGGGUGAAAGCGGGGGAUCGAAAGGCCUCGCGCUAUUGGAGCGGCCGAAGUCGGAUUAGCUAGUUGGUGGGGUAAAGGCUUACAAAGGCGACGAUCCGUAGCUGGUCUGAGAGGACGACCAGCCACACUGGGACUGAGACACGGCCCAGACUCCUACGGGAGGCAGCAGUGGGGAAUUUUGGACAAUGGGGGCAACCCUGAUCCAGCCAUGCCGCGUGCGGGAAGAAGGCCUUCGGGUUGUAAACCGCUUUUGUUCGGGAAGAAAACCUCUGGGCUAAUACCCCGGGGGGAUGACGGUACCGGAAGAAUAAGCACCGGCUAACUACGUG
rnacentral:rRNA from 1 species